rnacentral:rRNA from 1 species
CCUUUGGGGGAACUACAAACGGGUGCUGCUUGGUUUUCUUCGGUUGGUUUGGUAAGAUGUGGGGUUAAUCCCCGCAAGGAGCCCACCCCUCGCCUUUAGUUACCAUCAUUUAGUGGGCUAUUUUAAAGGACCCCCGGGGGCUAAGCGGGAGGAAGGUGGGGAUGACGUCAAGUCUUCAUGGCCCUUACGCGCUGGGCUACACACGUGCUACAAUGGCGAUUCCAGUGGGCAGCAAUCCCGGGAGGGUGAGCUAAUCUCCAAAAGUUGUCUCAGUUCGGAUUGUACUCUGCAACUCGAGUGCAUGAAGGCGGAAUCGCUAGUAAUCGCGGAUCAGCAUGCCGCGGUGAAUACGUUCCCAGGCCUUGUACACACCGCCCGUCACACCAUGGGAGUUGGAUUACACCCGAAGGCCGUCGGCGCCUAACCGCAAGGAGGCCAGGCCAACCCAUUGGGUUACC